AGGCAAGGCUCCCGCUGAGAGCCCCUGUUGCAUCCCUGGCUCUGUGGUCAGUGUGUUCACAGGAAGCGCUUUCUUCUCACAGACCUGAGGACCACCGAAGCGCUUGAUUCCUGAUUUGCUUCAUCAAGACACCAGGGUUAUACCUUCUAAUAAUGCCACUCCCUGGACUGAAGAUAUACAAACCACUACAACAGGUGAACAAAAGAAUGAGAAAAACAACAAGAAAGAAAGUGAACAGGAACUGUGGACACAGAAGCCUUCACAGAAUCAAGAAACCAUGAUGCCACCUUGUAGUCUGUGCAGAGUGUACUGGACUUUGGGCAUGUUAGCGCUGUAACGUCUUCUGGUUAAUAGGCUACAGAGGCUCCGCGGGAGCCCUGGAUUGUGAUGGCUGCCUUCCUGCAGUUUACCUAAGCCCACCACACUUCCACUCUGGUGAUUCUCUGCAGGGGCUCUGCUAGACUCAUAAUCAAAAUGACAGAAACAUAAAUAACUCCUUCAGAACUGAGAAUGUGUUUUUUUUUCUCUUUUAAAAAUAAAAUAAAGUGCUUUUAAAUUAAAA